UCCCUGGUAGUAUAUCGGUUAGUACACGCGCCUGUCAUUCAAACAAUGAGUCGCCCUCUACGGUCGCGCGAAAGCGGGGUUCGACUCCCCGCCAGGGAG